rnacentral:rRNA from 1 species
GGUGCUAACGUCCGUCGUGAAGAGGGAAACAACCCAGACCGCCAGCUAAGGUCCCAAAGUCAUGGUUAAGUGGGAAACGAUGUGGGAAGGCCCAGACAGCCAGGAUGUUGGCUUAGAAGCAGCCAUCAUUUAAAGAAAGCGUAAUAGCUCACUGGUCGAGUCGGCCUGCGCGGAAGAUGUAACGGGGCUAAACCAUGCACCGAAGCUGCGGCAGCGACACUGUGUGUUGUUGGGUAGGGGAGCGUUCUGUAAGCCUGUGAAGGUGUGUCGUGAGGCAUGCUGGAGGUAUCAGAAGUGCGAAUGCUGACAUAAGUAACGAUAAAGCGGGUGAAAAGCCCGCUCGCCGGAAGACCAAGGGUUCCUGUCCAACGUUAAUCGGGGCAGGGUGAGUCGACCCCUAAGGCGAGGCCGAAAGGCGUAGUCGAUGGGAAACGGGUUAAUAUUCCCGUACUUGGUGUUACUGCGAAGGGGGGACGGAGAAGGCUAUGUUGGCCGGGCGACGGUUGUCCCGGUUUAAGCGUGUAGGUGUGUGUUCCAGGUAAAUCCGGUUCACUUUAACACUGAGGCGUGACGACGAGGCACUACGGUGCUGAAGCAACAAAUGCCCUGCUUCCAGGAAAAGCCUCUAAGCAUCAGGUAACAUCAAAUCGUACCCCAAACCGACACAGGUGGUCAGGUAGAGAAUACCAAGGCGCUUGAGAGAACUCGGGUGAAGGAACUAGGCAAAAUGGUGCCGUAACUUCGGGAGAAGGCACGCUGACACGUAGGUGAAGUGAUUUACUCAUGGAGCUGAAGUCAGUCGAAGAUACCAGCUGGCUGCAACUGUUUAUUAAAAACACAGCACUGUGCAAACACGAAAGUGGACGUAUACGGUGUGACGCCUGCCCGGUGCCGGAAGGUUAAUUGAUGGGGUCAGCGCAAGC